rnacentral:rRNA from 1 species
GACAGAGGUGCCAAGCGUUAGGCGGAAUCAUUGGGCGUAAAGCGCACGUAGGCGGUUCGUUAUGUCGGAUGUGAAAGCCCUUGGCUUAACCGAGGAAGUGCAUCCGAAACUGGCGAGCUAGAGUACGAAAGAGGAUCGCGGAAUUCCCGGUGUAGAGGUGAAAUUCGUAGAUAUCGGGAGGAACACCGGUGGCGAAGGCGGCGAUCUGGGUCGAUACUGACGCUGAGGUGCGAAAGCGUGGGGAGCAAACAGG